GAUUAACGCUGGCGGCGUGCCUAACACAUGCAAGUCGAGCGGCAGCGAGUUUUACACUGACUUCUGGAAGCUUCUAGUUGAAAGAGAAGAUUUAUUCAAGAAUUUUGUGUAAAAUGUCGGCGAGCGGCGGACGGCUGAGUAACGCGUGGGAACGUACCCCAAAGUGAGGGAUAACGCAUCGAAAGGUGUGCUAAUACCGCAUAUGGUCUUCGGAUUAAAGCCUUCGGGCGCUUUGGGAACGGCCUGCGUAAGAUUAGAUAGUUGGUGGGGUAAUGGCCUACCAAGUCGACGAUCUUUAACUGGUUUGAGAGGAUGAUCAGUCAGACUGGAACUGAGACACGGUCCAGACUCCUACGGGAGGCAGCAGUGAGGAAUCUUCCACAAUGGGCGAAAGCCUGAUGGAGCAACGCCGCGUGCAGGAUGAAGGCCUUCGGGUUGUAAACUGCUUUUAGAAGUGAGGAUUAUGACAGUAACUUAUGAAUAAGGAUCGGCUAACUACGU
rnacentral:rRNA from 1 species